UAGUCCACGCCCUAAACGAUGCUUACUCGGCAUUGGCGAUAUACUGUCAGUGCCUGAGGGAAACCGAUAAGUAAGCCACCUGGGGAGUACGUUCGCAAGAUUAAAACUCAAAGAAAUUGACGGGGGCCCGCACAAGCGGUGGAGCAUGUGGUUUAAUUCGAAGCAACGCGCAGAACCUUACCUACCCUUGACAUGCCGGUCGCGAUUUCCAGAGAUGGAUUUCUUCAAUUCGGUUGGACCGUGCACAGGUGCUGCAUGGCCGUCGUCAGCUCGUGUCGUGAGAUGUUGGGUUAAGUCCCGCAACGAGCGCAACCCUCACUUUUAGUUGCCAGCAUUUAGUUGGGCACUCUAGAAGAACUGCCGGUGCUAAGCCGGAGGAAGGUGGGGAUGACGUCAGGUCCUCAUGGCCCUUACGGGUAGGGCUACACACGUGCUACAAUGGCGCUGACAGAGGGUUAAUCCCUAAAAGGCGUCUCAGUUCGGAUUGUCCUCUGCAACUCGAGGGC
rnacentral:rRNA from 1 species